rnacentral:rRNA from 1 species
CAUGUGUAGCGGUGAAAUGCGUAGAUAUAUGGAGGANCACCAGUGGCGAAAGCGGCUCUCUGGUCUGUCACUGACGCUGAGGCUCGAAAGCGUGGGUAGCGAACAGGAUUAGAUACCCUGGUAGUNCACGCCGUAAACGAUGAGUGCUAGGUGUUAGGCCCUUUCCGGGGCUUAGUGCCGGAGCUAACGCAAUAAGCACUCCGCCUGUGGAGUACGACCGCAAGGUUGAAACUCAAAGGAAUUGACGGGGGCCCGCACAAGCGGUGGAGCAUGUGGUUUGAUUCGAAGCAACGCGAAGAACCUUACCAGGUCUUGACAUCCCGAUGCUAUUCUUAGAGAUAGGAAGUUACUUCGGUACAUCGGAGACAGGUGGUGCAUGGUUGUCGUCAGCUCGUGUCGUGAGAUGUUGGGUUAAGUCCCGCAACGAGCGCAACCCUUAUUGUUAGUUGCCAUCAUUAAGUUGGGCACUCUAGCGAGACUGCCGGUAAUAAACCGGAGGAAGGUGGGGAUGACGUCAAGUCAUCAUGCCCCUUAUGACCUGGGCUACACACGUGCUACAAUGGUCGGUACAACGAGUCGCGAGCCGGUGACGGCAAGCUAAUCUCUGAAAGCCGAUCUCAGUUCGGAUUGGAGGCUGCAACUCGCCUCCAUGAAGUCGGAAUCGUUAGUAAUCGCGGAUCAGCACGCCGCGGUGAAUACGUUCCCGGGCCUUGUACACACCGCCCGUCACACCACGAGAGUUUGUAACACCCGAAGUCGGUGAGGUAACCUUUUAG